CUCUCUUUAUAUAUAUAUAUGUGUGUUUGUACAUAUUUUUUUUUUUCCCACUUUGGUUUUAUUUUUCUUUAACUUUCGGUGAAACAUUUUGUUCUAGCUGUCUCAUCAAUAUUUGUUCCUUAGAUAUUGACUUUUUUAAUCAUAUAUUUGUACUUGUAUGUUUGUAUCUUGCAUUUCUAGUCAAGAAUCAGUUCAAAGGUCAAGAUCUGCACUUACCUUGAUUCUGGUAAUGUCUCUGGAGUCCAAGCCAAUUUUUAUUAAGGUAUUUAGUUAUUUUACUUACAUUUUUCUGUCAUUUAAAAUAGAUUACAAGUUUUUACACCUAAACAUGUUGUCUGCUAUGAUUUAUAUGGAAACAAACAGAGCUGCAAUGUUGCUUCGGAUUAAUAGGUAGGUUUUAACAUAAAAUUCCCCUUACUAAAGAGUGUAAAAAUUAUGGGGAAUGUUUAUCAAAGGUUUUUGGCAACAAACAGACAGAUAUAAAAACAAAACAACAAUCUAUGAUUCUGGGGGCAAAAGAAUUUUAUACUUAGAAUUCAUUACACGCUAGUCAAAUGUUGUCAGUGUAAGCCAUUAGGUUGAUGAAUUGUCAAUUUCUAGUCAAAUGUUGUCAGUGUAAGCCAUUAGGUUGAUGAAUUGUCAAUUUCUAGUCAAAUGUUGUCAGUGUAAGCCAUAAGGUUGAUGAAUUGUCAAUUUCUACUCAAGUGUUGUCAGUGUAAGCCAAUAGGUUGAUGAAUUGUCAAUUUCUAGUCAAAUGUUGUCAUUGUAAGCCAAUAGGUUGAUGAAUUGUCAAUUUCUAGUCAAAUGUUGUCAGUGUAAGCCAUUAGGUUGAUGAAUUGUCAAUUUCUAGUCAAGUGUUGUCAGUGUAAGCCAUUAGGUUGAUGAAUUGUCAAUUUCUAGUCAAAUGUUGUCAGUGUAAGCCAUAAGGUUGAUGAAUUGUCAAUUUCUACUGCUGAAUUUAAUGUUACUAUCACAACUUUCUGUUUCUACUUAAAGUUUUUACUGCAUGUGAAGACAUUACUAAUCUAUAAUGGUUCUAGACAUUCAUACAUGCCAACUUUCCCGAUUUAGGUGGGAUCUUCCCGAUUUUACCCUCCGGUCCCGCUUUCCCGAUCGGGAAAGCAAAAUUACCCUAAAAUCCCGAUUUGAAAUUUUUUCCGACCAAAAUUUCCGAUUUCACGAUUGAAAACGAGUUUGAAAGCGGGAUAAUCGUGAAAUCUCGUGACCAGAAUUGGAAAUCCCGCGUCAUUUCUGAACUGGCCAAUCAGAAAUCGGGACAAAAGUCAGCCAUUGCUGUUUACCUGUGUCGCAUGGUGUCGGGUUGGUCUGCCUGUGUCGGGGUGUUUAUUGGACAGUACGAAGCAUGUUUUGAUAGUAAUUAAUCGGGAAGACGGAUUUCAAAUUGACCUAUCCUUUACACAAACGUGAAUGACAACGAUGCUAGUGUCACCACCAAACAAUCGGACAUUCCGCCUCUCGCUGACAGCAUCCAAAAUUUGCAAUAAGAUGUCAUGGGUGCAAAGGUUUUGUUCGCAAACUUCAUAGCAGGGCAGAUCACUCCUUUUUUGGUUGCAAUGCAGAUUAUUCCACCAGUCUCUGCAAGCCCAUGUUUACAGACAAGCAAGAUCGCCUUUGCAGUCGUACCUAAAUGCAUGUGCUUUAAUUUAAAUUUUGAUAUAUAGACCGGCCAAUGUUUAUUGUAUGGUGUAAAAGGAUGCAACCUUAAAUAUUAUUUGAUAUUAUGUAUGUGACUUGUUGGAGAAGAUUUUUUGCUGAAUAGAUGAUUUUAAUAAAAUAUUAAUGUAUA